UGCAGGAACGCCCCGAAUUGCAGGCCGAAAUUGCACCCUUGUCUGAUAGCCAGGCAUGUUUAAAUAUAUAUUUAGCAUUCGAACGCUCGUGUUUCCGAUUUUCCGACGUCAUGAACAGCUCCUCUCGAGCAUGACAUUAUCAGACCGACGACAUCAUCGUCGCGUCAAACACAGUUAGAUGCGAACACACAACAUCGGUCGCAGGUGGAGAGAAGAAACACACUUCGACAUUGACGUUACUAAGACAACAUUUAAUUGAUUUGCGACAUCAAACAUUUCGUGUCAUAACGUUUAUCAUACCAUUGUUUCAUGACUGUCAUCUACUUGCGGUUUGACAUCGCUUUAUUCCCUGGUUCCUAUUAUGCCGUCCCAGUCUUGGUUUAUCGCUGGUAGCGCUCUCCUCCUUUCUCUGGCAGUCGGGGCGAAGGGACCACAUCCAUGCACAGAGACAGACUACUACUAUGAGUAUACAGAGUGUGACAGUACAGGGUCACGAUGGAGAGUAGCAAUCCCUCAGAGCCAUGGAUCCUGCAUCGGACUGCCAGAGCCUGUACGAGGGACAGAGUGCACGUUUUCCUGUGAGGCGGGGGAGUUUCUGGAGAUGUCUUCUCAGGAGUGUACUCAGUGUGCAGCAGGUACCUACUCUCUGGGCAGCGGCAUUCGCUUCGAUGACUGGGAAACCAUCCCUACCGGGUUCAGCUCCCUAGCAACUUACCUCGACAAUGGUCCCCAUGGAAACGACAGCCUCACAUGCAACAGUUCGUCCUGGUUCCCCCAGAGUAGUUACCUGGAGUCUAACAGAGAUGAGUGUACUGUCUCUCUGAUCUAUGCUGUCCAUCUGAAGAAACAGGGAUCAGUCUCCUUUGACUACCAGUACACCGACCACAAGCUGUUCUUCGACUUCUUUAUUCAGAAUGACCAGUGUCAGGAGAUGGACCAGACUGCUGAUAAGAAGUGGCUCAAGCUCACCAGUCACGGGGAGUGGGCCACACACACUGUGAAUCUGAAGUCUGGCACUAACAUCUUGUACUGGAAGACAGCAGGGGUCCUGGGAGCUAAAGUAAUGAAACCUGUUCUGCUGAAGAAUGUCCACAUAGAGGGAGUGGCAUAUGCGUCAGAGUGUUUCCCUUGUAAACCAGGGACGUUCAGUCAAACCCCAGGCUCCUCCUCAUGUCAUCCCUGCCCCAGAGACACCCACUCUGGCCACGGCGCCAGCUCCUGUACCCCCUGCAACACCACCACACACUAUGCCCCGACAGGGUCAGGUGUAUGCAAAGCUAGACCACCAUGCUCCAAGAAGGAUUACUUUCAGAUCCACACCCCCUGUGACCUUGAGGGCAAGACACAGGUGAUCUACAGGUGGGUGGAGCCUCAGAUCUGUCUGGUGGGUGUGGCUGGGGCUGAAACACUGCCCCCUUCAGGUGACCGUGAGACAUGCCCCCCCUGCAACCCCGGUUUCUAUAACAACAACACAGCCACCUGCUCUCCUUGCGCCCCUGGGACAUUCUCUGAUGGGGUCAAAGCGUGUGAGUCGUGUCCGGCAGGUACUGAGCCUGCUGUAGGUUAUCAGUUUAAGUGGUGGAACAUUGUACCAGCCAACAUGAAAACGUCCUGCUUCAACGUGGGAAACUCCAAGUGUGACGGCAUGAACGGUUGGGAGGUAGCGGGGGAUCAUAUCCGCAGUGGAGCAGGGGGCUCUGAUAAUGACUACCUCAUCCUCAACCUGCACGUACCUGGCUUCAAGCCUCCUAUGUCAGUAACAGGUGGUGCAGGGACAGAGUUUGGCCGUAUCAUCUUUGAGUUUGAGAUGGUGUGUUCAUCUGACUGUGAGCUGUACUUUAUGAUGGUGAGAACAGCAGAAGAUAAAGAAAAACCCACACUCACUGCAAACUAUACAGUAGCAUAUACACAAGAUAUAAACAGGAAGAGUACGACGGUGGUGGAGUCGUGGGAGGGCAGUAAGGUCAAACAGUCGUACACAUACAUCAUGACCAAGAACGCUUCUGUAUCAUACACAUGGGCCUUCCAGAGGACCAACCAAGCCUCUGAAGUGCGUCAGAAUGUGAACGACAUGGUGCGUAUCUACUCCAUCUCAGUGAGUAACGCAGUAGACGGUGCGUCGUCAGAGUGUCAGGCCUGUGCCCUCCUCUCCCAACCCUCCGGCUCACUGUGUGUCCCCUGCCCUCCAGGACACUACAUACACACACACACCAGCCAGUGCACAGAGUGCCCCCCCAACACACACCUCACCUCACACAGCACCCAGAGCCCAGAGGCCUGCAAAAAGUGUGGACCAUCCAGCAAGAGUAACAAGGAGCACAGCAGGUGCUACAGUGACUGUGUGUUCUCCUACUCUGAGAACAAAGUGUCUCUGAGUUUUGACUACAGUUCUCUGGGCUCUGUUGGAACACUGAUGAACGGACCCCAUUUUACCUCCAAAGGAACUAAGUACUACCACCUCUUCAACAUCAGCAUCUGUGGAGGAGAGGAUAUGAGGGCUGUGUGUACAGACAAUGUGACUGACCUAUCCAGCGCCGACUCUCAGAGAGAGACAGGUGAAUCAGCCAAUGCGGUGGAGAGUUUCAUCUGUCAAUCAACCAUCAUCCCCUCCAGUGGGCGGGGCUUCCGCACAGCACUAUCCUCCCAGUCCAUCAGUUUAGCAGACACGUUCCUGGGAGCAACAGUGGCCUUGACUCUGGGUGGAGUGAAGGCAAGACCAGACCUGUUCCCACAGACCACCAACAAAGUCCGAGAUGUAAACUUCUUCUACCGUUCUCUGGAGGCAACCUCGUCAUGUGAAGCAGGUCGUAAUGUGGUGGUGACACUUCGCUGUAACUCGGAGAGGAGCACACAAGGAGAACUCACAGUACCCAGUCAGUGUCCGGCAGGGACGUGUGACGGCUGUAUCUUCCACUUCCUGUGGGAAAGCUCGGGGGCGUGUCCUCAGUGUACCCCCACAGACUACCACCAGAUAGAGGCAGCCUGCAAGGGAGGACUGCAGGACAAGCUGUAUGUCUGGAAUGAACCAAAGCUGUGUGUUGGAGGGGUGUCCCUCCCGGAGAACAAGACCUGGCCGUGUAAUAGCAUGGACUUCUUGGUAAAGAUGGGGGCGGCGAUAGGAGCAUUCACCGCCGCACUGCUCUUCUCCAUCACCUGCUACUUCUGGAAGAAGAACAAGAGGCUGGAGUAUAAGUACUCAAAGCUGGUGAUGUCGUCCAAUAAGGAGUCUGAACUGCCGGGGGCGGACAGCUGUGCCGUGAUGGAGGGAGAGGUGGAGGACGAGGUGGUCUACUCCAAAAAAACAUCCCUGAUACGCAAACUCAAAGCCAUCACAUCUAGAGGAAACAGAGAAAGGUAUGAAAAUGUCCAGUUGAACUCCUCACAGUCAAACGGAUUGGUGUGGGGGUGAAGAAAGAGGAAAGCGAGAGGGAGAGAGAGACCAACCCCUCAGAGAGAUUUUUUCAACAGAUCACCCCUGCUCCUGUUGUGACAGCCCCAUGUCCUUGGCUUGUAUAUGAGUCCGGUUCUGUAUCCGUGUGCUUGGCCUGUUGGAGUGGGCUCACAGAACUCUUCUUGGCAUGAUGUGUUGCAGUGGGCUCAGGAUCCAUACAGAGCCUGUCUUAAGCUAUCUUGGCUCAGACAAGUGCACCAGCAAAGUUUCACAAGAUGAGAGUGAAGGGAGACUGCUGUGGGUGACGGAGAAAGAUGGGGAGACAAAGGCUGGAAGUGAGAUGGAGAGGUGGAAUGUGGAGAGAAGGAAUGGUUGAGAGAGAGUUUUCCACCAAGUCCCAUCAUUAGAGACAACUUGAGUGUGAAUCAACAUCCCCCACCUCUGUUCUUCAUCCUUGACUCCCCCAUCCCACUCCAUCAGAACAAAAGGAAUUGUGAAAGCGGAUGUUGCAGUGGUUUGCCAUAGCGAUGUGCAAUGCGGGGAGGGGAUGGGAGGGUGUAGUAUCUGGUGGGUGCAGGGCUGGGGAGUGAAUACAUAAGCCUCGGGACAACAAAGCCUCCCAAUCUCUGAGCUCUGUGUAUGUUAGUGUGUGUCUGGGCUGAACAAUGCUGCUCUGCCUCCUGGGCCAUGGGAUGCUUUUACAUAAUCCAGCUCCUCUGCCUGCUGCAACACACACACACUUCUUUAGGUUUGCUCAAUCACAGAAACACUCUAUCUCUCCCUCUCUCGUUGUGUCUGUCUUUCACCAUUGCUAAGCCUUGGGGGAAAUGUUUGACAGGCGCACUGCGUCAGAGGUGUAACAACGGUUAUCACACCCCAGGAAAUCCUGUUAGCAGAGAGGGGUGUGGCCUCAUUCUACUGGACUCCACUUCCUGUGUUUCACACUACAGAAAAGUGGGAUGAAGGAAAGAAGACGAGGCGACCUGUAUCGGAAUCCAUUUGAGAUGCAUAAAAAAUAACUUAUUUCCCUCCCACCUGCUCUUAUAUUAACAAUGAGACCUGGGGAGGCUAUAGUAACACUGGGACUAGGAUGAUUUUAACCACAGACACUGCUUUAAGGUCUGUUUGACGUCUUUACCCCUACUGGUUAAGGUUAGGAUUGGUGGACUAUAAACUGAUCCUAGAUCUGUGCCUAUAAGCACAGCCUCUACCUGGAGCAUAAGACUUGCAGAUACACGGCACAUAGCCGUUAAUAAAACAUCAUCACAUGACUACAGGACACAUUGACAUAGGAGAGUGCACUACCCAUUGGUUUAAAGGAUGCAGGGAAGAUGUGUGUACAACUAGACUUGUUCGCAGCAAAGUAUUUUCUACAAACCGUGCUUGUGGAAUGAUUUCAAAGAAUGUUUCUAAAUGCUAAAUUAAACAUCAGUGACUGAGUUUAUGAUUGUGGCAUUGCAUCUGCAAUGUUUCUUUAAUAUUGACAGUUAAGACUUUGAAGAGUCACUUGUAAUUAACUACCUUGUGUUGUCACACUGAUGCUAACGUUUGAUGCAAAAAUACCAGUUAAAUAGAAACGUUGUUGUUGCAUUGUUGUACACACGUCUGUUACUAUGGCCAUCAAGGUAUAGGGACACUCCUAUACAGUGGCUGUUCCAUGGAAAUAGAACGAGUAGAAAGAACAUUCCAGUUCCAGUUCAAAACAAUGGUCUAUAUUGGGUGGACUGGCUGCCAUUAUGGGUGCAUUAUUGGGAAAGUUCAAUAAAUAUUUGAUACUAUUCUGCUAUAUGCUAUAAUAAAAGCAAAUGUGUGAUUCAACAUACUAUAUGAAUUUUGGAGACUAUGUCCGUUCCAGCCAUUCUACUCCUAUGGGCUAGUCAACACUCAUGGAGCUUCAUCCACAGUCAGUCCACAGUAGUGGGAAUCCUACUGGAGUUACAUAAUACUGUCAACAUUGUGCUGUUCCAACCAUCAGUAAUAUUAUAUACAAAUAUACAGAUACAACAUACAAAUGCAUACUGACUGGGUUAUUACAAUGAGACCUACAAAAAAACACAAGAGUAGAAAGUCUGUAGGCUAUUGCAGGUGAGGCUGUCGCAGCCACUACUAGUACAGAACAUCUGUUUUCAGACACCCCUAACACACACACUCCUAUCACAACUCCAACACGCAAACCUCACAGGCCACGUUGCGUGCGCGAGCGUUGCAAAAUAAAUGUACACAUACAGUAUAUAUUAUUCAAUCAUUUCAUACACACCGCUCGUGUGCUUGAACGAGCGUCUGCAUAGCCACAUGAUAAAAUAGAACUUGGUUCUAUUUGAGACGCUCCAUGGACUGCAAGUCCCCUCCUUAUUGGAUAUCAGGAAGAUACAAACCCACGUGGAUGCUUGAGAAACAAAGGAGGAGAGAUUAAUUUAAAUUUCCAUUCCCAACUACAACAUUUUCCGUCUAGACAGAACUGCCAAAGGGGGUGGAGUUGCAAUCUACUGUAGAGA